UCUUUACACACCGGGACGUUUUUCGGGCGCGUUUAUCGUCGACGUUUAACGUCUCGUGACUCAAGAACGAGCGCCAAUGUGAGUGCGCACACCCACGCGAAAAGCGCGACGCGCAAAAGCGUCAUUUUCAGAAAAACGCCUCGGACGCGUUUUUUUGGUUUGACGCGGCGCGUUAAAAGUUGGCCGACCAAUGAGAUUGGCGCUUUUGUUCCCGUGCCUGGCGCUGCUGAAGUUCCAGUUAAACACGACUUGGCGGCGCUCAAGCACAAAAUGGUCUUGCGGAGCACGUGGAACAGGUAAACACAAAGAAGAUGCAUCGAGGCUGUGGAGGUUUAUGAAGGUGUCGGAGUUCCUCACAUCAUCGACUGAAUUUCGAAGUGUUCACAGCAAUAUUUCUGCUAAAAUGAUGUGAGCAAAAGUGAGGAGGCCCCAGCAAGCACGUCUUCAGGAUCAUCCAGCACCAGCCGUGACAAGGUCCAAUCUAAACAAAAGAAAACAGUCCGAGACGAACCUCUGGAGAUGUACCUCUUAUCAAAAGAUGCUAAAGGGAAAAAAUUGAAAGCGAAGCACAGAAGAGAGAAAGAAGAGCACAGAAGUAGCGCUCUGCCAGUUUUGGGUCACACCUAUAGAUGUUUAUUAUAUACCAUUUAUAUUUAGUUAUUUUUUUUAUGUUUAUACAUUCAAGAAAUACAGUUGAACAUGUACAUUUCAUAGAUAUGUUUAUUUGCACUACAGUUCACUUAGACUUCUAUCAUUGUGACUUAUUUGCUCUACAGCUCUGCCAGUUCUUGUUCACACAAAUUAAUGUUUAUUAUAUACCAUUUUACUUAUGUAUUUUAAGUGUUUAUACAUUUAAGAAAUACAUUUGAAAAUGUCUAAUUUCUAAAUGUUGAUUUGCACUCCAGUUCUUGUUCACACAAAUUAAUGUUUAUUAUAUACCAUUUUACUUAUGUAUUUUAAGUGUUUAUACGUUUAAGAAAUACAUUUGAAAAUGUCUAAUUUCUAAAUGUUGAUUUGCACUCCAGUUCUUGUUCACACAAAUUAAUGUUUAUUAUAUACCAUUUUACUUAUGUAUUUUAAGUGUUUAUACGUUUAAGAAAUACAUUUGAAAAUGUCUAAUUUCUAAAUGUUGAUUUGCACUACCAUUCAGUUGCACUACAUUCAUUGUGACUUUUCUGGAGUGGACCAACAUUUCUGAAUCCUGUUUUAUUUGGUUUUACUGUCAUGUCUCUGAUUGUUAUUGCAAACUGCAGUUCAUUCACACAAAUAAAUGUUUGGUAAAAAAAAAGAAUUGUAAAUAACGUGACAUUUUGGCACUAUGAAUAUAUUUGUACAUCAGUA